rnacentral:rRNA from 1 species
GAUGAGCGCUGGCGGCGUGCUUAACACAUGCAAGUCGAACGGGACUAUUUUCAAACAAAGCUUCGGCCGAGGGAGGAUUUAGUCUAGUGGCGGACGGGUGAGUAACGCGUGAGCAACCUGCCCCUCAGUGGGGGACAACAGCUGGAAACGGCUGCUAAUACCGCAUAUUGCACAUGGGUUGCAUGGCCCGUGUGUGAAAGAUUUAUCGCUGAAGGAUGGGCUCGCGUCUGAUUAGCUAGUUGGUGGGGUGACGGCCCGCCAAGGCGACGAUCAGUAGCCGGACUGAGAGGUUGAACGGCCACAUUGGGACUGAGGUACGGCCCAGACUCCUACGGGAAGCAGCAGUGGGGAAUAUUGCACAAUGGGCGAAAGCCUGAUGCAGCAACGCCGCGUGAGUGAGGAAGGCUUUCGGGUCGUAAAACUCUGUCCUUGGGGAAGAAAGAAAUGACGGUACCCUUGGAGGAAGCCCCGGCUAACUACGUGCCAGCAGCCGCCGUAAAAC